rnacentral:rRNA from 1 species
AUACGGAGGGUGCGAGCGUUAAUCGGAAUUACUGGGCGUAAAGCGUGCGUAGGCGGUUUGCUAAGUCAGAUGUGAAAGCCCCGGGCUUAACCUGGGAACUGCAUUUGAUACUGGCAGACUAGAGUAUGAUAGAGGGGGGUAGAAUUCCUGGUGUAGCGGUGAAAUGCGUAGAUAUCAGGAGGCAUACCAGUGGCGAAGGCGGCCCCCUGGAUCAAUUCUGACGCUGAGGUACGAAAGCGUGGGGAGCGAACAGGAUUAGAAACCCCAGUAGUCC